GUUCUCGUUAGAUCACCGAAGUCAAGCAUCAUUGGUCGCGGUCAGUACUUGGGUGGGUGACCACCUGGGAACACCGCGUGCCGUU
rnacentral:rRNA from 1 species